AGUUAAGGCCGGAUAACCGCCUCGGUGUCUACGAAUUACGAAUCAAAUACAAAUAUACGAAUACUAAAAAUUAGUAAUUCGUAUAUUCGUAAAGCGAAGCGUAUUAGUAAUUCGUAGACAUCUGGGAGGAAAGUCCGGACACCUGCUGAUGCUGCGCAUCAGCAAAGGGGCAAUGGAUAACACCCAUCGGGCGCAGUGAAAACUGCGCUUAGGGAAAGUGUCCCCCUCACGGGGGAUCUCCCGCAAGGGAGGCCACAGAGACUAUACGACCCGCCCAAGUUUUUGACUUUUGAAGAGGUCCGACCGCGCGACCAAAAAAGAAUGCGGACGGACCUCGUCAAAAACUUGGGCGGACAAAGGUGAAAAGCGGGUUGAUGUUAGAUAUCUUGCUCACGUGAAAUAUUUAGCUGCAACUCGAAUCGACCGGUGACGGUCGAAGUUUGGCAAACCCUGCCUGGUGCAAGCCUGAGCCUCGAUUCUAUAUCGGGGAAGGCGCUUGAUCCCGACGGUAACGCCGGGGCUAGAUAAAUGGUUAUCUCAUCCCUCACCACUUUUUGUGAAUUUAUUCCCAAAUAUUUUCUUGAGGCAGUAAGAAUUUUAUUCAGUGAAAGUGGUGAGGGAUAAGACAGAAUCCGGCUUACAGGCCUUAGCUAACA
rnacentral:RNase_P_RNA from 5 species